AAGGUCUUAGCUUAAUUAAAGUAUCUGAGUUGCAUUCAGAUGAUGUGGAAUAAAAUUCUGCAGGUCUUA
rnacentral:tRNA from 2 species